ACCCCCUGGCAAUGGGCAGAGACGUCUCCCUGGUGGUGUUGUUCCCACAUCAGCCAGGGCAGAGCAGGUAGCAGUCCUUUGUUCAUCCUAGCUAGAGGCCUGACUUAGUGGCCAAAGCUGUUUCAUGCCUAGGGCACAUUC